rnacentral:rRNA from 1 species
UACGUAGGGUGCAAGCGUUAAUCGGAAUUACUGGGCGUAAAGCGUGCGCAGGCGGUUUUGUAAGUCUGUCGUGAAAGCCCCGGGCUCAACCUGGGAAUGGCGAUGGAGACUGCAAGGCUAGAGUGUGUCAGAGGGGGGUAGAAUUCCACGUGUAGCAGUGAAAUGCGUAGAGAUGUGGAGGAACACCGAUGGCGAAGGCAGCCCCCUGGGAUAACACUGACGCUCAUGCACGAAAGCGUGGGGAGCAAACAGG